rnacentral:rRNA from 1 species
UACGUAGGCAGCAAGCGUUGUUCGGAAUUACUGGGCGUAAAGAGUGUGUAGGCGGUUCGCUAAGUUUGGUGUGAAAUCUCCCGGCUUAACUGGGAGGGUGCGCCGAAAACUGGCGGGCUUGAGUAUGGGAGAGGAAAGCGGAAUUCCUGGUGUAGCGGUGAAAUGCGUAGAUAUCAGGAGGAACAUAUGUGGUGUAGACGGCUUUCUGGACCAUUACUGACGCUGAGACACGAAAGCGUGGGUAGCAAACAGG